AUGUUCCUUUCUCAAUUCAUUCAUGAGUAGAUUAUAAUGUUGUCGUAAUACAUGAAGUCUUGCUUGAAAAUGCUUCGGGUACCUGACUGUGGAAAAAAGAAUAGAAAUUACAAUAAUAAAGUCCUAAUUCUAAUAGAAUACUAAUAAUGCUCUAAUUAGACCAUAAUAAUGUUAAACAAGCUUAAUCAAAUUCAAAAAAAACUCAAGAAAUUUCAAACAAAUAAUAAAAAUUCUUAAAGAAAUAUUAGAAGGAUCACAAAUAUCACUCAAAUACAUCUCAAUUCAAUCUUAAUUUAAUUCUAGUUAAAAUUCUAUUGAACUUCAUUAAAACUUUAGGCCAAACCUAAUUAAAUCUUAAAUCCUAAUAAAAUCCUAAAUCCUAAAUCAAACCCUAAACAAAUCUUAAACAAAAUCCUAAUCAAAUCCUAAUCAAAUCCUAAUCCAAAUCCUAAACCCUAAAUCAAAUCAUAAUCCAAAUCCUAAAUAAAAUCCUAAUCAAACCCUAAACCAAAUCUUAAACCAAAUCCUAAUCCAAAUCCUAAAUCCUAAAUCAAAUUGUAAUCCAAAUCCUGAAUCCUAAAUUAAAUCCUAACUAAAUCCUAAAUCAAAUCCUAAUCCAAACCCUAAAGCCUAAAUCAAAUCCUAACUUUAAAUCAAACCUUAACCAAAUCCUAAUCCAAAUCCUAACUUUAAAUCAAACCUUAACCAAAUCCUAAUCCAAAUCCUAAACCUUAAACCAAAUCCUAAAUAAAACCCUAAUCAAACCCUAAAUUAAAUCCUAAAUCAAAUCCUAAACAAAUCUUAAACCAAACUCCAACCAAAUCUUAAAUCAAACCCUAACUAAAUCCUAACCAAAUCUUGAUACAAAUCCUAAACCCUAAACUAAAUCCUAACCAAAUCCUAAAUCCUGAAUCAAAUCCUAA
rnacentral:lncRNA from 1 species